AGAACGAACGCUGGCGGCAUGCCUAACACAUGCAAGUCGAACGCUCUUGGGAUUUCGGUCUCAAGGGAGUGGCGCACGGGUGAGUAGCGCGUGGGAACCUGCCCUGUUGUGGGGGAUAACCGAGGGAAACUUCGGCUAAUACCGCAUAAGCCGGCUGUCUUGCGAAAGAUGGCCGGGAAAGAUUUAUCGCGACAGGAGGGGCCCGCGUCGGAUUAGCUAGUUGGUGGGGUAAAGCCUACCAAGGCGACGAUCGGUAGCUGGUCUGAGAGGAUGAUCAGCCACACUGGGACUGAGACACGGCCCAGACUCCUACGGAGGCAGCAGUGGGGAAUUUUGGACAAUGGGGGCAACCCUGAUCCAGCCAUGCCGCGUGAGUGAAGAAGGCCUUCGGGUUGUAAAGCUCUUUGUGCGGAAGAUAAUGACGGUACCGCAAGAAUAAGCCCGGCUAACUUCGUGCCAGCAGCCGC
rnacentral:rRNA from 1 species